GGGGAAUUUUCCGCAAUGGGCGAAAGCCUGACGGAGCAAUACCGCGUGAGGGAGGAAGGCUCUAGGGUUGUAAACCUCUUUUCUCAGGGAAGAACAAAAUGACGGUACCUGAGGAAUCAGCAUCGGCUAACUCCGUGCCAGCAGCCGCGGUAAUACGGAGGAUGCAAGCGUUAUCCGGAAUUAUUGGGCGUAAAGCGUCCGCAGGUGGCAGUUCAAGUCUGCUGUUAAAGGUCGAGGCUCAACCCCGAACAGGCAGUGGAAACUGAACAGCUAGAGUGCGGUAGGGGCAGAGGGAAUUCCCAGUGUAGCGGUGAAAUGCGUAGAGAUUGGGAAGAACACCGGUGGCGAAAGCGCUCUGCUAGGCCGUAACUGACACUCAUGGACGAAAGCUAGGGGAGCGAAUGGGAUUAGAUACCCCAG
rnacentral:rRNA from 1 species